GCUUCUUAAGUUGUGGAUCUGAUCGCAUUAUAUCAUUUUUUUCCAGUUUAAUAUUCUUCUUAUUUUUUACAUUUGAAGAAGCUGCUUUCUCCUUCUUCCUCUGAUUUGUAUCUUCCAUGUAAUAAUUCUAUCUACCCUGAUAAAGUGGGGAUCCACAGGUAACCACAGGUAACUUAGGUGUCAAAAGGCACUUGUUCAGCAGUGAAGAAACGAAAUGAUACUUUCUUUUUAGCACUCUACAUAGGCAGAUGCAACAUUGCAAUAAUUUCCUCCACCUUGUUGUUGGAGCUGGGUGGGGGCCAUCACCUAGAACCUGACGACUCGUAAACUUUUUUAAAUUGCUCACGAAGUUUCAGUGGUGGAAUCUUGAUGAAUCUAAUAAUGGAACGCAAAAUCUCCAUGUGGAAAUUUUUCCCCAGGGUACUGAUCAUGAAUAUUUAGCUACGCUUGAUGCAAAAUUGCUUUGGGAAUUUGACUCAUUAGAUAGCAAUUUUAUUUAAUCUUUUUGCUGUGAUUCAAUAAACAAUUUCGCUUUCUUUUGUCUAAAAAAGUAUAGUUUUUUAAUCACCAUUUUUAUUAUGAUGUUCUUUUGUUGCAGGGUGGCCGAAAGUAAUUUUGCAAAGUUUAUUCUAAUAUAUGGUAAUUUUGUUGUCAAUAAUAAAUAAUUGUCAAUAAAUGACUUCAUUCUAUAUGGUAAUUUUGUUGUCAAUAAUAAAUAAUUGUCAAUAAAUGACUUCAUUCUAA